rnacentral:rRNA from 1 species
UACGAAGGACCCGAGCGUUAUCCGGAUUUAUUGGGUUUAAAGGGUGCGUAGGCGGCUUAGUAAGUCAGUGGUGAAAGCCCAUCGCUUAACGGUGGAACUGCCAUUGAUACUGCUAGUCUUGAGUAUGGUUGAGGGGGGUGGAAUUCCGCGUGUAGCAGUGAAAUGCGUAGAGAUGCGGAGGAACACCGAUGGCGAAGGCAGCCCCCUGGGCUGACACUGACGCUCAGGCACGAAAGCGUGGGGAGCAAACAGG